rnacentral:rRNA from 1 species
UACGUAGGGUGCGAGCGUUGUCCGGAAUUAUUGGGCGUAAAGAGCUCGUAGGCGGUCUGUCGCGUCGGUCGUGAAAACUUGGGGCUUAACCCUGAGCUUGCGGUCGAUACGGGCAUGACUGGAGUUCGGCAGGGGAGACUGGAAUUCCUGGUGUAGCGGUGAAAUGCGCAGACAUCAGGAGGAACACCGGUGGCGAAGGCGGCCAUCUGGACGGACAACUGACGCUGAGAUGCGAAAGCGUGGGGGAGCAAACAGG